AGCAGCCGCGGUAAUUCCAGCUCCAAUAGCGUAUAUUAAAGUUGUUGCAGUUAAAAAGCUCGUAGUUGAAUUUCGGGAUCAAUACGUCGGUCGUGCUUCGGUACGUACUGGCGUCAUUGGUUUCUCCCUUCUGACGAACCAUGAUGUCAUUAACUUGGUGUCAUGGGAAAUCAGGACUGUUACUUUGAAAAAAUUAGAGUGUUUAAAGCAGGCUCACGCUUGAAUACAUUAGCAUGGAAUAAUGAAAUAGGACGUUCGAUCCUAUUUUGUUGGUUUCUAGGAUCAACGUAAUGAUUAAUAGGGAUAGUUGGGGGCAUUAGUAUUCAAUUGUCAGAGGUGAAAUUCUUGGAUUUAUUGAAGACUAACUACUGCGAAAGCAUUCGCCAAGGAUGUUUUCAUUAAUCAAGAACGAAAGUUAGGGGAUCGAAGACGAUCAGAUACCGUCGUAGUCUUAACCAUAAACUAUGCCGACUAGGGAUCGGAUGAUGUUAAUUUUUAAUGA
rnacentral:rRNA from 1 species